rnacentral:rRNA from 1 species
GACGGAGGAUGCAAGUGUUAUCCGGAAUCACUGGGCGUAAAGCGUCUGUAGGUGGUUCAAUAAGUCAACUGUUAAAUCUUGAGGCUCAACUUCAAAUCAGCAGUCGAAACUAUUGGACUCGAGUAUAGUAGGGGUAAAGGGAAUUCCGGUGGAGCGGUGAAAUGCGUAGAGAUCGGAAAGAACACCAACGGCGAAAGCACUCUGCGCUGGCCGACACUGACACUGAGAGACGAAAGCUAGGGAGCGAAUGGG